GUGGGGAAUAUUGGACAAUGGGCGAAAGCCUGAUCCAGCCAUGCCGCGUGUGUGAAGAAGGUCUUCGGAUUGUAAAGCACUUUAAGUUGGGAGGAAGGGCAGUAAGUUAAUACCUUGCUGUUUUGACGUUACCAACAGAAUAAGCACCGGCUAACUUCGUGCCAGCAGCCGCGGUAAUACGAAGGGUGCAAGCGUUAAUCGGAAUUACUGGGCGUAAAGCGCGCGUAGGUGGUUCAGCAAGUUGAAGGUGAAAUCCCCGAGCUCAACCUGGGAACUGACUACAAAACUACUGAGCUAGAGUACGGUAGAGGGUAGUGGAAUUUCCUGUGUAGCGGUGAAAUGCGUAGAUAUAGGAAGGAACACCAGUGGCGAAGGCGACUACCUGGACUGAUACUGACACUGAGGUGCGAAAGCGUGGGGAGCAAACUGGAUUAGAAACCCUAGUAGUCC
rnacentral:rRNA from 1 species